UACGAAGGGGGCUAGCGUUGCUCGGAAUUACUGGGCGUAAAGCGCACGUAGGCGGCUUGUUAAGUCAGGGGUGAAAUCCUGGAGCUCAACUCCAGAACUGCCUUUGAUACUGGCGAGCUUGAGUUCGGGAGAGGUGAGUGGAACUGCGAGUGUAGAGGUGAAAUUCGUAGAUAUUCGCAAGAACACCAGUGGCGAAGGCGGCUCACUGGCUCGGUACUGACGCUGAGGUGCGAAAGCGUGGGGAGCAAACAGG
rnacentral:rRNA from 1 species